rnacentral:lncRNA from 1 species
UCAGUAUACAAUGGCUUCCCAAUCGCACUUGCCAACUUACUCAAUACCUCCACAGACCAAUACCCUACAGGAAGACCUGGGAAUCGAAUCCAAAUAGGGAUAGUGCUGAGCACACUAGCCUGAAAAUUAAAAUCAACUUCCCAUGGUCUUAGUACCAUAGGCUUACUCCUAAAAGUAUAUGGGCCUGAUUGCAUGACUGUAUCUCUAUCUUCAGCACUGUUGAAUCUAAAGAUACAAUACCCUUCUGCAUGCACUAGAACUUGAGGUUUGGUGACAAAAUUCCAAACAUGUAUAACAAAGUUUUCCAUAUUUUGUUCACUAGGCCUAUCUCCAAUUACAAAUCCAAUCAAUGCAUUUUGCCAAUACUCC